UGAGGAAUAUUGGGCAAUGCCCGCAAGGGUGACCCAGCAACGCCGCGUGGAGGAUGAAUGUCGUAAGAUUGUAAACUCCUGUUAGAGGGGAAGAAUAGUACCGGUUGGACCGGUAUAUGACUGUACCCUCAGAGAAAGCCCCGGCUAACUACGUGCCAGCAGCCGCGGUAAUACGUAGGGGGCAAGCGUUGUCCGGAUUUACUGGGUGUAAAGGGUGCGCAGGCGGAUGGGUAAGUCAGGGGUGAAAGUCUGCAGCUUAACUGUAGAAUUGCCUUUGAUACUGCUCAUCUUGAGUGUGGGAGAGGUUGAUGGAAUUCCAGGUGUAGCAGUGAAAUGCGUAGAUAUCUGGAAGAACACCAGUGGCGAAGGCGGUCAACUGGCCCAUAACUGACGCUCAUGCACGAAAGCGUGGGGAGCAAACA
rnacentral:rRNA from 1 species